rnacentral:rRNA from 1 species
UACGUAGGGGGCUAGCGUUGCUCGGAAUCACUGGGCGUAAAGGGUGCGUAGGCGGGUCUUUAAGUCAGGGGUGAAAUCCUGGAGCUCAACUCCAGAACUGCCUUUGAUACUGAGGAUCUUGAGUUCGGGAGAGGUGAGUGGAACUGCGAGUGUAGAGGUGAAAUUCGUAGAUAUUCGCAAGAGCACCAGUGGCGAAGGCGGCUCACUGGCCCGAUACUGACGCUGAGGCACGAAAGCGUGGGGAGCAAACAGG